UUGAAUUGAUCUUGGAGUUGCCUAAAAAACGCUUGGCACAUAGUUAAUUCCAAAAUUAUGGCAUGCCUUCACCAAUUGAUCCGCUACCAUAUUUUGUUCUGCAUGUUGCACUAGCAGAUCACCCACCCUUAAUAGGAGGUACCUACAAUCAUUUACCAUGUUAGCAUAUGCAACAUUACCAGAUUUUAACAUAGUGAUAACCUUCAUUGCAUCAACCUCCACCUCAAGUGGAACUAAACCAUGUCCAAAUGUCAUUUUAGGUCUAUGUAUCAACGCAUGCCAUUCUGCAGAGAGGGAGGUGUUUCUUGCAACAUUUUCUGAGAAGCUUAAUAUCCAUUCUCCUUUGCAAUUCCUGAUUAGGCCGCCAAUGCCAUCUGUUGUGGAUGAGUGUGCCCCAUCUAUGUUCGGCUUACAGGUAUUAUCCUUUUGAGGAAUUCAGUUAACAUGUUUUAUAUUUUUCAUUUUUUUUUUAUGUGAAUAAGCUGCUAAAUACGAAUAUUUAGCUGCUUGUUGUGUUAUAUGUUUUAUAUUAACACUUUUCCGAGUUGAUUUAUAGAUAUUCUAAUUUCGUGUUAGCCAAAUAUUUCAAAAACUUAGCGGUAAGUAAGUUUGUGGAUUCAUAUGAUAAGGCAACUUUAAACUUUUAUAAGUCAUAUGCCCAUGAAGCCAGUGUUGUGUAUUUUGUAGGUGUGAUAUGUCGUAAUAGUCCUAAUUCCUACCAGUAUCCCUUUGUAUUUUCGCAAUAAAGAAAGAUGUGUUUUAUAGUUUCAUCUUCCUACUGGCAGUAUGGGCAAGUAUUUAUCCGAUAUUAUAUUGAAUUUCCUAAGAAAAUCACGUGUUGACAGUUUGUUGUGGUAAAGAAGCUAGAUAAAUAUUUUUUGUUUUUGCUGGUAUAUAUAACUUUCAUAUUCAAGUGAAUUUAGUAGAAUUCUCCAUGGUUUGUUCUAGGUUUUUCCCCAAAGCUGUGUAUAUGGAAUGAACUGUGAAGUUACCCAUUGGUGUAAAUCCCCAUGGUCUACAUUGUUAUCAAGCGUGGAUAUGUAAGUAGUUAAUAUUAAUUCCCUUAUAUCAGCAGGCAAUUCAAAAGGUAGUUUGGACCAAGCCCAUCCAGUUGAAUUAUACAAGAAAGAUAUUUUAAUAUUAUGACGGGUUGAUGGUAAGGGUCCAUUAAUUAAAGAUCACAUUGUCGUGCUUGCCUUUAUCAAAGGAUCCUCCCAAAAUAUUAUGUGUACCCUUCCCUAUUAUGCAUUUAUUCCCAUUUGACAAUCAUCCUCCUAAGGUGUCAGUUCAAGUUUUUGAAUGAGUUGUAGUAGUGGUCUUGUGUAUGUAUUUAUUAAUGAUUAAUUUUGCUCAAAUUAUUUGUUGUAAUUGAAAUACUCUCCAGGCUAGACCUGCAAGUAAUAUUGAAUACUUUUGACGUAGUUUUUGAAUUUUCAUUCCUCCCACUUAUUUUGGAGUUGUAAUAUCUUUCUAUUUGAGGAGGUACAUUUUCUUUCUUGUUGCUGUAGUUCCCCGUAGAAAAUUAUAUUGGU
rnacentral:lncRNA from 1 species